rnacentral:rRNA from 1 species
AACGAAGUAAUUCCGGAGGAAUCCAAUGAACAACAACGAUUACUUAGGAUCAGCUUGCGAAUUUGCAGCACCGUAGUAGAAUCAUUACCAACGGCACGCUGUGCGCCUAAGUGCGAAAAGACAGUGCAAGCUUUGUUAUGCCGAAACCUAAAUGUAAAGUCAGCAACACUUCUAAAUGCCACUUCUUCCCGCCGCAUCCGUCUUCAGGACGAUGUAGUCACAGGUUUUCACUUUUCAGUGAGUGAAAGAUUUGUAUCCGGGUCUACGUUCAAAGCUUCUACCAUAGACCUAAUUCGAGAAGGCUUGAUAGUCCUAAGAAAGGUGAGGGUGGGGGGUUCUAUUUAG